rnacentral:rRNA from 1 species
GACGAGGGGUCCAAGCGUUGUUCGGAAUUAUUGGGCGUAAAGCGGGUGUAGGUGGCUCUAUAAGUCAGGAGUGAAAUCCCCAGCUUAACUUGGGAAGUGCUUUUGAUUACUGCAGAGCUUGAAUGUGGGAGAGGGUAGUAGAAUUCCAGGUGUAGUGGUGAAAUACGUAGAUAUCUGGAGGAAUACCGGUGGCGAAGGCGGCUACCUGGCCCAACAUUAGACACUGAGACCCGAAAGCGUGGGGAUCAAACAGGAU